UACGGAGGUGGCAAGCGUUGCUCGGAAUCAUUGGGCGUAAAGGGUGCGUAGGCGGCGCGGUAAGUCGGGUGUGAAAUCUCGGAGCUUAACUCCGAAACUGCAUUCGAUACUGCCGUGCUUGAGGACUGGAGAGGAGACUGGAAUUUACGGUGUAGCGGUGAAAUGCGUAGAUAUCGUAAGGAAGACCAGUGGCGAAGGCGGGUCUCUGGGCCACUACUGACGCUGAGAAGCGAAAGCAUGGGGAGCGAACAGG
rnacentral:rRNA from 1 species